UGUAGUCAUAUGCUUGUCUCAAAGAUUAAGCCAUGCAUGUCUAAGUAUAAGCAAUUAUACCGCGAAACUGCGAAUGGCUCAUUAUAUAAGUUAUCGUUUAUUUGAUAGCACAUUUACCUACUUGGAUAACCGUGGUAAUUCUAGAGCUAAUACAUGCUAAAAAUCCCGACUUCGGAAGGGAUGUAUUUAUUAGAUUAAAAGCCAACGCCCUUCGGGGCUUCUUGGUGAUUCAUGAUAACUGGUCGAAUCGCAUGGCCUUGCGCCGGCGAUGGUUCAUUCAAAUUUCUUCCCUAUCAACUUUCGAUGCGAAGGUCUUGUCUUCGCAUGGUUGCAACGGGUAACGGAGGGUUAGGGCUCGACCCCGGAGAAGGAGCCUGAGAAACGGCUACUACAUCCAAGGAAGGCAGCAGGCGCGCAAAUUACCCAAUCCCGACACGGGGAGGUAGUGACAAUAAAUACUGAUACAGGGCUCUUUUGGGUCUUGUAAUCGGAAUGAGUACAAUUUAAAUCCCUUAACGAGGAACAAUUGGAGGGCAAGUCUGGUAAUCG
rnacentral:rRNA from 1 species